rnacentral:tRNA from 1 species
GCGUAGUCCAAUGGUAGGACACCGGACUGUCGAUCCGGCGAUGCGGGUUCGGUCCCCGCCGCCCCA